CUGUGGGAGGAAAUCCCUGUGAACUGAUUGAUUAUCACUACUAGUCCCAAAAUAACUCAAUCACAAUCUUACAUAAUGAAGAUACUACUCGUCUAAAUCAGUCCAUGUUGCACAAUCCAUAUUACAUACAUGAAGAGGAAGGUUCAACCCAAUUAGAGCCUAAGUGACUAAACCAAAAUCUAAACAUAACACCAAAAAGUGCUGCUAAUAACAUAAAAGUAGUACAUCACAAUGGUAAACUAAUUUAAUGAAGAGAGGAAGCAUGGAGGAUCUUUAAAGAAAAUGAAACAAAACCAAACAUUCAGCAGAUUCCACUCAUCCAUAGGAGUUCAAGUUGAUCAUAUAGCUUCAAAUGUGCAUUUCAUACACACAUAGGGUCCAAAAGAUUAUCUGGUUACAACAAAAUAACAAGGAAAGUAAGCUUGGAGCUUAAGAAGAAGCAGCAGCAGUAAGACAGUAGCAAUGGAACAGUGUCAGAGCAGCCAAUCAAACAAAACUUUCAGACUAACUCAAACCCUUUUAAAACCUAGGUGCACGAUUUUGAAACUUUUAGAAAUUCUAACUAACCAAGGGGAAUCAAAAAACCAGAAACCAAGCAAAGUUUUAAGCAAUUUUUAGUAUUUUGGAGUUUGAAAGAGACUCAGUCGUUUUCCAAGUUUUUCAGUGUUUUUAAUUCUCUGAAUCUAACUUGAUAAUAAAGAAACAGACCUUUUAUAGAGGCUUCUUAGGGCGUCACAAUUGGUUCUAAAUUUAGCCCAUUGCCCCUUUUCAUACUUUUAUUUUUGCUAGUUAGUCCUCAAUUUUAAACUCUAUUUGUUAAAAUUAGCCCCAACCCCACCUUCCAGGUAGCUUUCUAAAUCAGUUACACAAGAUUCUUUUGUCCAAAUUCCCCAAACUACCCUUAAAACUCUAUGUUUUUACUUUAGUACACCACAUGGGUCAAAUCGACCCAACAAACAAAACCCGGGCUUUGCGAAACCCGGACUGACCCCCUUUCUUUGGGCUUCUGAUUUUCAGAAUCCAAAUCAAGUUCCUAACUCAAAAUAAACCCACCCAAAAUUCAGGAUAAAGGGGGUUGCAAAACCAGAUAACUUUCGACAUGAACCCAAAACAAAAAGAAAAAGAACUAAUUAAAACUAAACAUGAGAAUCAAAACAAAUACAAUGAAACAUGCUCUUAAUCUAAUCAUGCAAACAGAAAACUAAUUAAAACAAAAAAAAAUAAUAAAGAAAAAGACAAGAGGAAACAGAAAGAGAUGAAGACGGGGAGAAGAACAAAACAACGGGGAAAAAAUAAAAGAACGAAGGUACCUAUAGAAGAAUGCGAACGAACAUGGCUUGAGAAAUCUCGAAUGUUGUUGAUUUUGAGCCGAAAUUGGCCUCAAUCACGUGUUCUUGUUAAGAACAGACAAGCAAGCCCAGUUUCGACUCUUAAUCACUUGUCAAAACUGGAAAAACUCGGGUGAUUUUUUGUCUUCUUAUUUUUCUUUUCAGAUCCGAGAUUAGUUAGAUUUGGCGAGGAGGUGAAGAGAUGUGAUGAGGGAUUGGGGGUCAGGGGUGAGUAGUGACUGUAUGGUUGAAGUUUGGGGUUGAUUGGAGGUCCAAACGGUGGGAAUGGCGAAGGAUUUCAAGGUCAGUGUUUAUGGUUCAUAGUUAGAGAUGAGAGAAGAUGAAGGGAAGGGGGAAU
rnacentral:lncRNA from 1 species